rnacentral:rRNA from 1 species
GAUGAACGCUGGCGGCGUGCCUAAUACAUGCAAGUCGAGCGAACGGACGAGAAGCUUGCUUCUCUGAUGUUAGCGGCGGACGGGUGAGUAACACGUGGAUAACCUACCUAUAAGACUGGGAUAACUUCGGGAAACCGGAGCUAAUACCGGAUAAUAUUUUGAACCGCAUGGUUCAAAAGUGAAAGACGGUCUUGCUGUCACUUAUAGAUGGAUCCGCGCUGCAUUAGCUAGUUGGUAAGGUAACGGCUUACCAAGGCAACGAUGCAUAGCCGACCUGAGAGGGUGAUCGGCCACACUGGAACUGAGAAACGGUCCAGACCCCUACGGGGGGCAACAGUAGGGAAUUUUCCGCAAUGGGGGAAAACCUGACGGGAAAACGCCGCGUGGGUGAUGAAGGUUUUCGGAUCGUAAAAACUUUUUAUUAGGGAAAAAAAUAUGUGAAAGUAACUGGGCACAUCUUGACGGUACCUAAUCAAAAAGCCACGGCUAACUACGU